rnacentral:rRNA from 1 species
ACAUGCCUACAACAUAGCAUUAAUGCAUUGGAUCCCAUUAUAACUUUGUAGUUAAGCGUGCUCAUGAUAGAGUAGUACUGGGAUGGGUGAUCACCAGAGAAGUCCUAGUGUCUUACAUGCC